rnacentral:snRNA from 1 species
AGAUGUGAGGGCAAUCUGGCUGCGACAUCUGUCACCCCAUUGAUCGCCAGGGUUGAUUCGGCUGAUCUGGCUGGCUAGGCGGGUGUCCCCUUCCUCCCUCACUGCUCCAUGUGCAUCCCUCCUGAAGCUGCACGCUGGUCGAUGAGGAUGACCAUCCCUGAUACAGGAGGACCGUUCUUCAGUCAAGAGUAUAGGAGUAGCUGCGCUCCCCUGCUAGAACCUCCAAACUAGCUAUCAAUCCCAGGACCCCGAGAUCAUGACCUGAGCCAAAGUCAAAUGCUCAACUGACUGAGCCACCCAGGUGCCCCACAUC